rnacentral:tRNA from 1 species
GGGUCGAUGAUCUAGCGGUUAUGAUGCAACCUUCACAAGGUUGAUGUCGCCAGUUCGAACCUGGCUCGACCCA